rnacentral:snRNA from 1 species
GGCUUUGCGCUGCGGCACACUGUAGCCAAGGGGGUUUACCCGAGGCGCGAUCAUUGCUAAUCGAAAACUUCCCCGUGCCCCGCCAUGGCGACUUGCAGUAGAGUUGGCACUGGCAAAUUUUGACAGUCCCUAUGGGGA